GGGCCCCGCGCCCGGCCCGCCGCCCCCGCCCCCCUACGGGAGGCAGCAGUGGGGAAUAUUGGACAAUGGGCGAAAGCCUGAUCCAGCCAUGCCGCGUGUGUGAAGAAGGUCUUCGGAUUGUAAAGCACUUUAAGUUGGGAGGAAGGGCUGUAGAUUAAUACUUUGCAGUUUUGACGUUACCGACAGAAUAAGCUCCGGCUAACUUCGG
rnacentral:rRNA from 1 species